GAGCAUCCGGGCUCGGGAAGCCGGCCAAAACGGGCCAAACAUGGGCUGCCAUACCCAUUUUUCCAGUCACUGAUUUGGGGCUGGAGGAGGCGGAUCCGGCGCCGGAAUGGGCGGAGGAACGGCAGAGAAGCGGCGGCUGCAGCUUGGCGGGCGAGGCGGCAGCUCCGGCGGGACUCACGGUGGCCGGAGGUGACUGAAUCGCGGCCUGAGCUGGCCGAACAGCCCCCG
rnacentral:lncRNA from 1 species